ACAACUUUGUGUUUUGUUGUUGUGUUUUCUCUUUCAGUUUCAAGGAAGCUGGCACCGAUUCCACCCAAGGUCCCCUUUGGCCAGCCGGGGGCUGUGGCAGACCAGUCCGCUGGCCAGCCGUCCCCAGUCAGCCUGUCCCCCACCCCGCCCAGCACCCCGUCACCCUAUGGACUGAGCUACCCUCAGGGGUACUCCUUGGCCUCGGGCCAGCUCUCCCCAGCUGCAGCUCCUCCCCUGGCCUGUCCUUCUGUCUUUACAAGCACUUUGAGCAAAUCGCGGCCCACUCCUAAGCCGCGACAGAGACCUACUCUGCCGCCUCCUCAGCCUCCCACAGUAAACCUCUCGGCCUCCAGUCCACAGUCCACGGAGCCCCCCAUGCUAGAUGGCAUGUCCCCUGGGGAAAGCAUGUCUACAGGUAACCAAGCCACAGGCUCCCUCACUUUUUUUUAUGAACUUUAGUGAAAUGUGCCCAGGGGAGGGAUUGCUAGUGUCACUGCCAGUGAACACAUUCCUGCGUGCUUUGAGAUGACUGGGCUGGCACCAGGGGUAGCUCAUAAGAUCUCCUUAGAAGCCCACCAAUGGAAAGCAACCCUGGAAUCCACGUGUCCCACACGGGGGCUUCUUAUGGGAUCUCUCGUUCUAAGCCCACCAGCCUGGGGUUCUGUUUUUGCUCUUAUUAUCGGGGGUUGAAGACACUGAGUCAUUUGGAGUGGGGCCUCAGGAAAAGCUGGAAGCUGGUUAUGAUCACAAAACAGCAUCAAAACUCAGGUAUUUCCUGGAUAGAGCCCAAGCAACCGACAGGUAUAAAUGCUUAUCUGGAGAACAGGGGCUAAGAACUCAAGAUGUUUUUCACUAUUACUAAAAUAAGCCUUGCUAGAAAAAUAUACUUCCAGAUAGAUAUUUAGAGAGGGGUGAAUUUCAGAAAACAUGCACGUCUCCGUUCCCCUCCCCCACACUCCCCUCCCCGGCCAAUUCCCUGAGGAGCUAAUUGGACAAACCCACAACGACUUAAUUUAGUUUGGAUUUAAAUUUAGAAACAAAGACGGAGCUCUCUUCCCCCAGAAAAAUCUGUAAGCACAAAAUCACAAACACACACCACCACGUUUAGCCAAAACCAUUCACUGGCUGGAAGGAACGGGACGUUUUUGGAACAUCUCCCCAGACACUUCAACCACAUAAGAUUAUAAAGUCAGGGGCAUAUUUGUGGUGGCUGCUAAAGUCAUUUGAGCAUUUUCCUUCUUCAGGGAGACAGGCACAGGGUUGAGCUGUGUCUUGGGCUAGAGCCAACCCACUUAGUAAAGUGCAGUAGCAUGGCGGUGAGCUGGAGCAUAUGUGUGCCUAGCGUUGUCCCAAGUAGCAGAAGGUGAGGCAGCUUGGGUUGGAACACACAGACACACCACACACCACACCCACUCACCCAUUUCAAAGAACAGUGCUGUCCUAGGAUGCACUGGGACUUUUUGUGAUAAUGCACUUUUCCCUCCACGUCCUUCUCCAAAAGAGUGAUUUAUUUCUUCCCUGAUUAGACGGAAGCAGUGACCCUGUGGGGUUCGGCUCCGUGCUGCCUUUGAAAAGGCUAGUCCAAUUUGCAAGUGUUUGUACUGGGUCAGAUUUAAAUAUUACGGGGAAGAGCCAUCUGGUGAUUUGGCUUCUUUAUUUUUGGAUGUGAUUAAUGUUGAAGGUACAGCUGCUGUCAUCUACCCUGAGGCUUAUUAAAAAUUAAGCAAAUUUCUCCCUGGAAAAUGCAGUGGGCACCACUCCCAUCUUUGUGGGUCUUGGUGCUGAGGCGUUUUCUCCUAAAGGAGCCCAUGAUGGGAGGACAUGGGCUUGCUGCCCUCGGGAAAGGUCACAGCUGUGGAGGAGCUGAAGGUCACCCGAGCCAGGUCUCCAGGGCUGCUCCUCCCAAUGUGUCACAUCUGCUGACUCUUCCAGCCACCCCAGGGAAGGGACACAAGGUAGUAUCAAUACAUAAGCAAUAGAAUGAGCAGAAGAUGGCCGGGCAUGGUGGCUCACGCCUGUAAUCCCAGCACUUUGGGAGGCCGAGGAGAAUUAGUUGGGCGUGGUGGCACGUGCCACUAGUCCCAGCUACUUGGGAGGCUGAGGCAGGAGAAUUGCUUGAACCUGGGAGGUGGAGCCGAGAUUGUGCCACGGCAUUGCAGCCUGGCGACAGAGCGAGACUCCAUCUCAAAAAAAAAAAAAGAAUGAGCAGAAGGUAUCAAUGGAGAAGCAGAAAAGAGCAGGAGAGGAGAAAUUGGGGAACAAGAGUGGACAACAGAAGGCCUGGGAGGACAGCACCCCCAGAGCUCUGAGAAGCGGAGUGGUUCACGUUCCAUCUCGCAGGUUUAAGAACUCCUGACCUUCAGGAUUCAUAAUGUCCCUCGCCCUGUGCGGACCCUAUUUUAAUGUCCUUUUGGCAGCAGACUGUUGUUUCGUCCCAUACGUUCAGGUCUCUGAGCCAGUGUAGAAUCCAUCAUGGUUUGAUGUGGCCCGUCUGGGACUGUGAUAUUGGCAUAGCCUUUUUUUUUUUUUUUUUUUUUUUUGGACGUUCAUGUUUUGUCGUGUUGAUUCCUUUCUCCGAAUCCUAUCAUUGUGUUCUUGCAGCUGUGUGACAUGAGUGGCGCAGUUUUGGAUACGUGUGAGGGGAAUUUUCAGGGUAAGCUGGCCCCGGCCUCGCCCCUCCACCCCGCUAGCUAGCCAGGCCAGCUGCCCGCUCCUCCCCUCCGCUCCUCCUCGCUGCACGUGGCUGAGACCAUUUGCAUGGCAGCUUCACUCUCCAGCCUUCCCCGGCCUCAGCAAGGAUGAGUUGAUCCAUGAGCUUAUUUGGCUUUGGGGCAUCCCUGGCCUCCUUGUCUUUCUUUUCAUCAUUAGAAGGAGCUGGGGGAGAACCCAGCCCGCCCCUUUUCCCCACCUUCUCUUUCACUAGAAUCACAUCUGCAGCUCCUCCUCCUCCGCUCUCCCUCAGGCUUAGACCCUGGAGCUGUAACAGAUCUGUUCUUCAUAUGAGACUUUUGUGCUGGAGAUGCUUGUGCCCAGCACCUUGGGGGACAUGCACCUGCUCACGUUUGUUUAGGAAGGCGUCCUGAGGGGAGGUCAUACCAGGUGCAGCCCAGCACAGGGUCCACACCACAGCUUGGACCCCAUUUUCUGUGGCCCUGAGUUUGCACCAGCAGAUCUCCCCUUCCAGACUUAGAUCCUAACGUCUGGCUUCCUCCAGGCUGAGACUGCUGGCAAAUCCUGAAGAAUCCAUAUCAGAGCUCAUCCCACUCCCCUUCUCCCUCAUCCCAAGUGGAUCUGGCCAGACAGAGCCUUUCUAUCCAACUCAGUAAAAUUUGGGGGAGCAUCUAUAUCAGUAUCUGUUUGGUCUCCUCCUCCUAUAAAGAGUAAAUGUUCAAAGCAUAACCAAGGGAAGGGCAUGAAGGAAGCCAGAAGGACUUUGGUGUAUUUGCCUCAGUAAGUAGGGGUGGCCAAAGUAAACCAGGUCUUCUCCCCGAUUUGGCCCAUGAUCCUGCAGAGACUACCGAGAGGCACCAGGGUAUCUGGUGCUCACAGAGAGGUCUCCUGGCAGGUGCUUCCCGAGUGUCCUGGAGACAAGCAGCCACUGUGUCCCUUUUCCCAGGAAUGCUGAUGAGGGCUUCUGCCCCUGAAUCCCAUUCCCUUGCAUAGUGACUCCUCCCUCGGGGGUGUCUUUAAGGGAGCAGCAAGGAUAAAGGUAUGACAGCUCACACAAGUGCUUGUUCUGGGCGCGUCUAAAUUCAUCACUGCCUUGUAUUAUUCCCAUUUGACUGCUCAGGCACAGGGAAGGUAGGAAGCUUGUCCAAGGUCGUGCUCUUCCUGCCUGACACAUUUGGGAUUUUUGAAUCUAAGCAGGGGAGCUUGUGCUCUUACCUGAUAGCGAACCCUGCACAGUGAGGUGGGCCCCGGGCCACUUAGCCUCACACCUGUGUAGAGACAUGACCCAAGCAGCCGGGGAAGGGCAGAGGUGGACCUGAGGCCACCUGCUUCAGAGGAACAAGUGGCACUGGCUGUUCCUCCAGCCCCACGCCCAAAAUCUCUGCUUCUCCAUCAUCAGGCAGCAAAACAAAGACCGGAAGGACGUGAGGGCUGCCUGGGGGUUGGGGCAAGGGAAGAUCUUUGUUCAAGAGCUUCCAUGUUUGUAUGAUGUCUUUCAGGACAGUGUCCAAAUAUAUGUCUGUACACUUAGUAUGGUAUUCCCCAGUCUGAACAUGUGUUCCCUUCCUCUGCCUCCUGGAGUGCUGCUCCCAGCCUUGCAAAGCUAAGUGAGGGCCAGAAACUAAGCAGGCAGGCCGGGCGUCGUGGCUCAUGCCUGUAAUCUCAAAACUUUGGGAGGCUGAAGUGGGUGAAUCACCUGAGGUCAGGAGUUCGAGACCAGCCUGGCUAACAUGGUGAAACCCAAUCUCUACU
rnacentral:sRNA from 1 species